AUUGAACGCUGGCGGCAGGCCUAACACAUGCAAGUCGAGCGAGCGGCGGACGGGUGAGUACUGUCUGGGAAACUGCCUGAUGGAGGGGGAUAACUACUGGAAACGGUAGCUAAUACCGAAUACCCUCAGAUGUGCCCAGAUGGGAUUAGCUGGUAGGUGGGGUAACGGCUAACCUAGGCGACGAUCCCUAGCUGGUCUGAGAGGAUGACCAGCCACACUGGAACUGAGACACGGUCCAUACUCCUACGGGAGGCAACAGUGGGGAAUAUUGCACAAGUGGCGCAAGCCUGAUGCAGCCAGUCCGCGUGUGUGAAGAAGGCCUUCGGGUUGUAAAGCACUUUCAGCGGGGAGGCGUUACCCGCAGAAGAAGCACCGGCUAACUCCGUGCCAGCAGCCGCGGUAAUAC
rnacentral:rRNA from 1 species